GACAGUAUAAAACAGUCAGAGAGACAGUUUUAAUAGGACAGAUGUUUAAGUAAGUAGAGGAAAAAGUUACAAAUCCAUAAGGAAGGUAAGUGAAGGAAAGGACAUGGAAGAGCAAGGUAAGGGGAAAGAAAGAGGAGUAAGUAUGGAAGAGGGGAAGGGUGUUAGUUGUAACAUGUUCUUGAUAUUAUCUUAAGGUGGGCAGAUGGAGAUACGUUGUAUCCAGGGUGACCAAAUAUCAAUGUAUUUAUUAGCAGAGGCAAUUGCAGCUUCCACUGAGUAAAUAUUUUCUUCCA